AUCCAACCGACAAGUCGCAAAUAGGAUGAAACGCGUGUCCUGAAU
rnacentral:hammerhead_ribozyme from 1 species